rnacentral:other from 3 species
GCAUUCCUGCCGUGUGCGAGGCCGGACCGAUAUGUUUUGAGCCAACACCAAAACAUAGGGAACCUGAUCUUAGUUAACGGCCGUCCUGCCCCAGCUUUUUAGGGGACUGCGAAAGUUAACGGGAGGUGCCCACCUGCCUAGCGCAGGUUCAAAACGUCGGGGUACUGCGGCAUGGCGGGGGAAAG